CUGGAACUGUCAGAAGACUAGGAGCAAUUCAUCGCCCAUUUGGGCCAAACUUUUCUAUGACGGGGAGUGAGGGAAGAAAGAUAUUCUUCUGCGAAAGAUAAAAUCAAGGAAUAUUUCAUCAUUUAUAUUUAGUUUUUAAACAAUGAUUUCCCCAAUGAGGACCUCACUUCCUAAGCUCUGGUGUCUGCUCUUUUGCCUGGGUCACAUUUGGGAUGGAAUAACUGGAGAUUCCCAGAAAGCCCUUCCCUGAAUGCUGUUCCCUUCAGCUUUCCCACAGUCCUUGGUUUUGAGGUCAAGACAAGACACUCUUGAUUGUGGCGAUGGGGCUGUACUCCUGCCAAGAGCUCUGCCUCAAUGAGACUUGAGAAAUACUGGACAGAUGACUUCUCCUCAUCACUACUGACUCCAAAGGUAGACACAGAGCACUACAGACGAAGCAUGGCCCCCAUCUUUCAAAAUAAAGAAAGGAUCUGAGAGAAAAGAUCAAGAAGAAUCUCCAUCCAUACCGCAAGAACACAAGUGUAGGCUUUAAAAUGCCCAGUGAGACAUCUAAAACACACAUACAUUGACAAGAAGUAUUCCUGCAAAUGCCUGCAUCUGAAGGAGACACAUGUCUAAUAUGGUGACCGAUAUGAAGAGGCAGGGGCAUUGCCAUUUUUCAAGACCAUCUUCACUGUAUCCACAGGGACAACUGCUUCAGGAGGAAACAUUAGAAUGUGCCUGUGUAACUUCCCCUGUUUCAGGGCUGUGAAGAUGAGCAAUGUCAUUACCAUAGCCCCGUGCAGGGUCCUGAACAGCAGCAGUGUGCCCUUCAGUAUCUUAGGGUUAAUACUGAAAAGCAGUUCCACAAGGUCUAAGACUGAAUGGCAGUUAAGUUAUUUCCCACUCAAAGAAAACUAAAUAGCAACAAGUAGUUACAGCAAUGAUUUUUGCCAAUCAGAGAGUGAAGUGAGGUAAUUCCUGUAGAAAAUUGGGCCAAAUCUCUGGGGCAUGGUAACUACUAACCAGAACAAUUAAAAUAUGUGUUGAACACUUUCUUGAUUUCUAAUCUAGCAUAUACACGAACAAGCCUUCUUUCAAACAUCUCUAGCCUGUCAUUUGGUGGCCAGUGGGAA
ensembl:lncRNA